GUUUUUUCUUUGGUCCUUUCUCUUUCUUUUCUUUCUUUUCUUUCGUUUUUUUUUCUUCUAUUGCUUGACUUUGAAUAAGAGGAGGAGGUGAUUUUUCCUAGCGAUGAUGAAGAUGUUGGAGAAGAUGAAAAAUGAGAAG
rnacentral:ribozyme from 13 species